rnacentral:misc_RNA from 1 species
ACUUGGUGCAUCCAUUGAGUAGGCAACAUUACAGUGAUUCUACCUUAAAGAUACUGAAGUCCGGGGGGCAUAAAAUGUUCUGAAAAUGAUUCAGAAAUCUUAACCACAUGAUUUUCAGAUUACUCUAAUGUUCAACGGUAUCUUUAGCCAGCUGAUCCUUAUCAUAUGAUCAGCUAAUUCUAGCAGAGCAGCCAGUUCAGAAAAGUUAGAUAAAAAAAAAAGGGAGGGGG